UAGAUUACUGAAGGUGAAUCGGAUGAAGAAGAGCUUCCACCAUUGUUCCCUCCCAGAAGAGAAAGACAAUCUGAUGAUGCUAAUUUGACAGUACAAGCGAUACACUUCAGUUGAAAGCAUGAAAGCAUUCAACAUCUGACACACCAGAUUCGCCAAUAAGUCGCCAGAGAAAUAGUACACUGUCUCAACCAGGUACCAGUGGAGCAAGUACAACCGUUACAUCUGAGAGGUCAAAUUCCUCAUCCACUCAAAUAACCAGUACAUUGUCCUCACCUGGUAGAAAUAGAGCAACUGUAGCCCUGGAAGGCUCCAACACACCAUCAUCAAGAAGAGGCAGAG